rnacentral:lncRNA from 1 species
CUGGUUUUCUUUCCUAAGAGUUAUUGUUUCUGGCAAUGACCACACUCCAGCAGGCUCAGGCCUGAGCUGAUGAAUGGGACAACCUGAUGACCACCACAAAGUUGCGUCUGCUCCCAUCCAGCUAAUCCGAGGGCUGUCAGACAGACUGUGACUAAUGGGGACAUCUGAGGGCAGAACGUUCGAAGGCCAAGGAGGAACAAGUCCAGACAAAGUGUGAGCACACACAUCUGGAGGGCUGGGGAGCCCAUGUCACAUUCCUGGCUGGACUUUGGACUCCAGGAGGAAGGCUUCAGGUUGGGCUUGCUCAGGCUGAGGCAGUUUGGGAGAGUGGGAGUGCAGGGGACUUGGGCAUCUGAAUGCCCGGGUUUGAAUUCCACAUCUGUUGCUUUUUGGCUCUGAGAGCUCUGGCAAGUUAUGUAGCCUCCCUGGGCCUUGGUUUCUGCUUCUUUAAAAUGGGGUUAACAAUGAAGAUUGGUGUAAGAAUCACAUAUAAAGGUGCUGUCAAGAAAUCUGGUUGAAGGCUGGGCGUGAUGGCUCAUGCCUGUAAUCUCAGCACCUUGGGAGGUUGAGGUGGGAGGAUCACUUGAGGCCAGGGCUUCAAGAAGAGCUUGGGCAAGACUGUAGCCAUAGCCAUAGCAAGAAUCUGUCUCUAUUUAAAAAAGAAGAAGAAGAAAAAAGGAAUGGAAAUAAAUUAAUUAAAUGGAA